GCGCCGGUGGUGUAAGGCGAACACCGCUGCCCGGAAAGCAGAAGAUGCGGGUUCGAGUCCCGCCUGGCGCA
rfam:Heligmosomoides polygyrus genome assembly, scaffold: HPBE_scaffold0000937